rnacentral:rRNA from 1 species
ACGGGUGAGUAACACGUAAAGACUUGCCCUGCAGUCUGGGACAACUACUGGAAACGGUAGCUAAUACCGGAUAUUGCCGCAUGGCGAAAGCUAUAUGCGCUGCAGGAGAGCUUUGCGUCCCAUUAGUUAGUUGGUGGGGUAACGGCUCACCAAGACCGCGAUGGGUAGCCGGCCUGAGAGGGUGAACGGCCACAAGGGGACUGAGACACGGCCCUUACUCCUACGGGAGGCAGCAGUGGGGAAUAUUGGACAAUGGACCAAAGUCUGAUCCAGCAAUUCUGUGUGCACGAUGACGGUUUAGGAUUGUAAAGUGCUUUCAAUCGGGAAAAAGAAAGUGAUGGUACCGAUAGAAGAAGCGACGGCUAAAUACGUGCCAGCAGCCGCGGUAAUACGUAUGUGCAAGCGUUAUCCGGAUUUAUUGGGCGUAAAGCGCGUCUAGGCGGUUUGGUAAGUCUGAUGUGGAAAUGCGGGGCUCAACUCCGUAUUGCGUUGGAAACUGCCAGACUAGAGUACUGGAGAGGUGGGCGGAACUACAAGUGUAGAGGUGAAAUUCGUAGAUAUUUGUAGGAAUGCCGAUAGAGAAGU